rnacentral:snRNA from 1 species
AGCUUUGCGUAGUGGCAGUAUCGUAGCCAAUGAGGUUUAUCCGAGGCGCGAUUAUUGCUAAUUGAAACAAAAUUUAAGAACACAGAAGAAAAUGUUAUAUAUCAUUUAUGGGUACAUAAAUACAUG